rnacentral:lncRNA from 13 species
AUGGGUGAGCUUUGGUGUUGGCAUCCCGAGGACUGGUCCAGGUUGUUGUUGGGGACAGACACAUCACUCCUGAGGGAGGGUGAGUGGAGGCCAUCCUCGCCCUCCUCCUCCUCUUCCUCCUCCCUCCCACUCUCCUCCGAAUGCUCAAAGUCAUCACUGUCCUGGUCCAUCUCCUCCUCGUCCUCCUCAUCCCUCCCCGUUCGCUCUCCUCCCUCUGUCCUUUCCUCCUCCUCCUCUCCCUGCUGGCUGCCACUGUUGUUGUUCUCCUCUUCCUCCUCCUCGUCGUCAUCCCCCCCCUGUUGCCGUCGCUCCGCCUCCCACAUCCACCGGCCGCCCUUAGUCACUCCUCCGUUCACCUCGUUGGGUACUCCUCCUCCAUCCUCCUCCUCCCCGUCUCCCUGGGGUCCAUUCUCCCUGGAGGUCCACGGUUCUUCCACUCCUUCCCCCCCUGCCGAGGCCGCAGGCUGGACUCUGGACUGCUGGUGUUCUUGGUCCUCCACCACCCGGUUCAUGUGCUCCUCCUCGUCGGCCUCCUCUCCAGGCUGCUGGCCCUGGGGCGUCCGGGCCGAGGAGGAGGCGUUACCUCGCUGGGCCCCCGGGCCCCCUCGCCGGCCCCCCAGGCCCCGCCUGCUGCCCCCCGACAGCAGAUCCUGGUUCAUUUCCAAAAGCCAGCUUGCUACCUCCUGGACCUUCACUAGGCUGUCUGAGGAGGAGAAGGGCUUGGCAUUCUGUAGGAGAGAGAUACGAAACGGGCGAGAGACAGAGGGGGAAACAGAGAGGGGGGAGAAAAGAGGAGAUAUUAGAGUUAUCCAUCUCAUACACACAGACAAUUGCAAUGCUGACGCUCACCAAAAUAAAGUGGAAAUAACCCCGUCAUCUUUUAUUCAUAACGGUAGAAAUAAAACAAAGUGUUUGUGCUGGGAGAUGCAGGAAAUGGUUGCAUUUAGGUGGGGAGACAAUAGAGGAAAGCUUUGGCUUUGGAUCACACAGCACGGGCCAUGGAACUUCUACAAUAAUUAA